CAACCUCAACUCAUAUGGGACUACCCCCUGAAUUUAAGCAUAUUAAUUAGGGGAGGAAAAGAAACUAACAAGGAUUUUCUUAGUAGCGGCGAGCGAAAAGAAAUCAGUUCAGCACUAAGUCACUUUGUCUAUAUGGCAAAUGUGAGAUGCAGUGUACGGAACAUCAACAUUCUAGUAUGAGAAGUUAACGAUUUAAGUCCUUCUUAAAUGAGGCCAUUUACCCAUAGAGGGUGCCAGGCCCGUAUAACGUUAAUGAUUACUAGAUGGUGUUUCCAAAGAGUCGUGUUGCUUGAUAGUGCAGCACUAAGUGGGUGGUAAACUCCAUCUAAAACUAAAUAUAACCAUGAGACCGAUAGUAAACAAGUACCGUGAGGGAAAGUUGAAAAGAACUCUGAAUAGAGAGUUAAAUAGUACGUGAAACUGCUUAGAGGUUAAGCCCGAUGAACCUGAAUAUCCGUUAUGGAAAAUUCAUCAUUAGAAUUGUAAUAUUUUAAACAAUAUUAUAAUAAUAGUGUGCAUUUUUUCCAUAUAAGGACAUUGUAAUUUAUUAGCAUAAAUAUCCGCCGCUAUAAAAACAACAUUUUUACAAGAAAUUUUGCAAAAAUACCAGGCGAACAGAAAUGACUAGCAGAUAGAUGCACAGAAAAUUUCCUUGGAGAUAUGUCGAUUCAAAACGACA
rnacentral:ncRNA from 1 species